rnacentral:lncRNA from 1 species
UUGUUCAUUCACGGCCGAACACCUCUUCCCACUUCAACAUUUCAUUUUCAAAACCAAAACAUGAAGAUUCAAGGGCUAAUCAAGGUGAUUCCAAGCUUGUAAGAAGGUUUGGGAGUGAUUUCAAGCAAGAACAAGACCCAUAUCACCAUCUUCUAUCAAAAACCCAUCUAAUAAGGUACUUGAGUUCGGCUUCGGGAAAAUCAUGGCGUAUCUUGCGUUUGAUGAUGCAUGUUAUCCGCGAGGAUCAAAACAACUUAACUUAUGUGGUUGUGUCGUAACCUUUAAAAUGUAA